rnacentral:rRNA from 1 species
AGGGUUUGAUCCUGGCUCAGGAUGAACGCUAGCGGCAGGCUUAACACAUGCAAGUCGAGGGGUAGAGUAGCAAUACUUGAGACCGGCGCACGGGUGCGUAACGCGUAUGCAACCUACCUUUUACAGGGGAAUAGCCCAGAGAAAUUUGGAUUAAUGCCCCAUGGUAUAAUUGAAUCGCAUGGUUUAAUUAUUAAAGUUCCAACGGUAAAAGAUGGGCAUGCGUCCUAUUAGCUAGAUGGUAAGGUAACGGCUUACCAUGGCUACGAUAGGUAGGGGUCCUGAGAGGGAGAUCCCCCACACUGGUACUGAGACACGGACCAGACUCCUACGGGAGGCAGCAGUGAGGAGUAUUGGACAAUGGGCGCAAGCCUGAUCCAGCCCAUGCCGCGUGCAGGAAGACGCAUCUAUGGUGUGUAAACUGCUUUUGUACAGGAAGAAACAUCCCCGACGUGUCGGGACUUGACGGUACUGUAAGAAUAAGGAUCGGCUAACUCCGUGCCAGCAGCCGCGGUAAUACGGAGGAUCCAAGCGUUUUCCGGAAUCCUUGGGUUUAAAGGGUCC